rnacentral:rRNA from 1 species
UUACGGGGUGCAGCAGGCGCGAAACCUCUGCAAUAGGCGAAAGCUUGACAGGGUUACUCUGAGUGAUUUCCGUUAAGGAGAUCUUUUGGCACCUCUAAAAAUGGUGCAGAAUAAGGGGUGGGCAAGUCUGGUGUCAGCCGCCGCGGUAAUACCAGCACCCCGAGUGGUCGGGACGUUUAUUGGGCCUAAAGCAUCCGUAGCCGGUUCUACAAGUCUUCCGUUAAAUCCACCUGCUUAACAGAUGGGCUGCGGAAGAUACUAUAGAGCUAGGAGGCGGGAGAGGCAUGCGGUACUCGAUGGGUAGGGGUAAAAUCCGUUGAUCCAUUGAAGACCACCAGUGGCGAAGGCGGCUUGCCAGAACGCGCUCGACGGUGAGGGAUGAAAGCUGGGGGAGCAAACCGGAUUAGAUACCCGGGUAGUCCCAGCUGUAAACGAUGCAGACUCGGUGAUGAGUCGGCUUAUUGCUAACUCAGUGCCGCAGGGAAGCCGUUAAGUUUGCCGCCUGGGGAGUACGGUCGCAAGACUGAAACUUAAAGGAAUUGGCGGGGGAG